GACGAACGCUGGCGGCGUGCCUAACACAUGCAAGUCGAACGGAAAGGCCCUGCCUUUGUGGGGUGCUCGAGUGGCGAACGGGUGAGCAACACGUGAGUAACCUGUCCCUCACUUUGGGAUAUCUUCAGGACACUGGGUCUAAUAUCGGAUAGGAUCUCCUGCUGCAGGGUGGGCCUUGGAUAGUUUCGGUGGUUGGGGAUGGACUCGCGGCUCAUCAGCUUGUUGGUGGGGUAGUGGCUUACCAAGGCAUUGACGGGUAGCCGACCUGCGAGGGGGACCGGCGACAUUGGAAGGGAGAUACGACACAGACUAGUAGGGGACGCAGGGGUGGAGAGUAGUAUACAAUAGACGGGAGGAUAGUGCAGCCACGCAACGUGGGGGAAGAGGGGCAUGGGGUAGGGAAGCAAUGUCGCCUGUAACGGGACGAGAAUGACGGUAAUGGGUAAAGAAGCACCGGCUAACUACGUG
rnacentral:rRNA from 1 species